AAGGAGAUAACAUUGUUAACAGCUUGGCCACAUAAGGGUUAAAUAUCUGGCUGAUGUCCUGCUUGGCUUUCAUUUUCAACUAUGAUAUAGUCCAGUCAAACAGCAAUCAUGAAUUUAUUUGCUGCAUCAUUUGCUUUGUUUCUGGCAUUUUGUGAAAGUUUUAUCAUACCCGGAAAUGUGAGCCGCAUUGAAUACAAGGAAGAACUAGGGCGAAUAGUUGGAGGAGCUCAAACUGAUAUCACCCUUUACCCUUAUCAAAUAUCCCUGCAACUUUACUACAGACAUCGAUGUGGAGGAGCCAUUAUUUCUGACGAUGGGCUCUAACUGCGGCACAUUGCACCAGAUUAAAUAGAGUAACACGACCUCCAAUUCUUGCCUUCACUGUCCGACUUGGCUCUUCUUUUUUAAUGUC
rnacentral:lncRNA from 1 species